rnacentral:rRNA from 1 species
GUACGCUGGCGGCACGCCUAACACAUGCAAGUCGAACGAAGUAGCAAUACUUAGUGGCAGACGGGUGAGUAACAUGUGGGUAUCUUCCCUUUGGCCUGGAAUAACACGAGGAAACUUGUGCUAAUACCGGAUAAGUCUUUACGGAGAAAGCUUUAUGCACCAUUGGAUGAGCCCGCACUUGAUUAGUUAGUUGGUAGGGUAAAAGCCUACCAAGACUUUGAUCAAUAGCUGAUUUGAGAGGAUGAUCAGCCACAUUGGGACUGAGACACGGCCCAAACUCCUACGGGAGGCAGCAGUGGGGAAUCUUGCACAAUGGAGGAAACUCUGAUGCAGCGAUGCCGCGUGAGUGAAGAAGGCCUUUGGGUUGUAAAGCUCUUUCGUCGGGGAAGAAAAUGACUGUACCCGAAUAAGAAGGUCCGGCU